ensembl:lncRNA ATXN8OS ATXN8 opposite strand lncRNA
AGACGCUAGGUGGGCUGCGCGCUCUGCCAGGCGAAGGCUGGAGCGCAGACGGCAAAGCCGCGCGUUUCAGCCGUGGUCGGGUCCGCAGGACCUGGGCGUGGGGACACCACCAGGCAGGAGCAGAGGCAGGACUGGGACGCCAAAAGCUGAGAAUCCUCGAUGCCCGCGCGAGAGCCCCGUGUUAUGGCGAGUUCUGGAGGCUGGGAAGUUCAAGACCAAUGCACGAGAAUUUGGUCUAAAGAGAAUCUUCUUGCUCUGAACACACAUAGUAGAAGGCAGAAGGGCAAGAGAGAGAACAAAGUCUGUGUCUCCACAUGGCAGAAGAGCAGAGGAGACAGAACCUACUCCUCUAUGGCAACCACCCCAUCAAUGACAAAAAUCCUAGAAGGAUGUAUGUAUAGGAAGUUGAAGUGUUGAGAAGAGAAUGGCUCAGAGUCAAGCGGGAACAAGUUCUAUAUCUGGAUAAAGUGCGAAGGAGCUUAAAUCUGUUGAAACCCAAAAUUUGCCUCCGUUUAAUGGCUUAGGUGAGUCUGUCAUUAUAUAGAUGGAGCAUAUGUUACUCUCUUCAGUGUUUUCUUCACUGCCAAUCCUGUUUCAAAUUGUAUGAGUGAUCGAAAUUGAGCCCGCUGACAUUCUAAUCAAGAGAAAAGAAGUAUAUAUGGUGCCCAAUUACCUGAAUCAAAUUGAUUUACUCAUUUAUUCUUCCUUAUGUUUCAAAAAUAAAGAUGUCAUUAAUCCAGAUUUUAAAUAUCAGAAUGUAUUAUAUAACAUUUCAGUAGUAAACCAACAAAUAUCUGAGACAGGUCUCUACCAAGUUAGAGGUUUAUUUUGCCAAGGUUAAGGACCAUGGCCUGUGACACAGCCUCGGGAGGUCCUGAGAACAUGUGCCCAAGAUGAUACAGCCUCGGGAGGUUCUAAGAACAUGUGCCCAAGAUGGCUGGGAUACAGUUUGAUUUUAUACAUUUUAUGGAGACAGAAAUUACAGGCAAAACAUAAUACAUGUAAAGCAUAUAUUCAUUUGGCCCAGAAAGGUGGAACAUCUUGAAGCGGUGGCUUCCAGGUCAUAGAUGGAUUCAGAUUUCUGAUUGGCAGUUGGUUGAAGGAGUUAAGCUCUGUCUGAAGAGUUGAAGUCAGCUUGAGUUAAGGUAAGACUGGAAGAGAGUUGUGGAAGCCAAGGUUCUUAUCAUGUGAAGGAAGCCUCCAGGUAGCAGGCUUCAGAUAGAAUAGAGGGUGAAUGUCUCUUAUCUGACCUUAGAAGAUGUCAGACUCUUAUUGAAAUCUUUUAUGGAUCAGGAAAAGACCUGCAAAGGGAAGGGGAUUCUCUACAGAGUAUAAAAUUUCCCCACAAAAGAUGGCUUUGCAGGGCCAUUUCAAAAUAUGUCAGUGAAAUACACUUUGUUGUAAAAUACUUUGAUUUCCUUUAGGGCCUGUUAUCCAUCAAGAGUCGGGUUGGACUUGGCAUCUUAUUAAUACAACGAAUCUCUUCUGUCAGUCUUAGGAUCUCUCUUUUAAUGUUAAUAUUGUUCAGUUUUGUUGAAACUCCAAAAGAGAAAGGAUAUGAGGCAUGUUCAACACCACCUGUCUCAUUGUGGCCUGAAUUAAUUUUUCAGGUUUCUUAAGAAUCUCCUAGGCUGAGAGAUGGGUCCACUCAAUAAGAUGGAAGGGGGUAUAAUUUUAAUUUAGAUUCAUAAAUAAAAAGAAAAAUUAUUUUUCUACAUUCCUUUUUCUCUAAUAAUAUUUUUAUUUUGUUUUACCAUUUGAAAUUCUAUGGUCAAAAAUUUCGUAAACUAAAAUUUCUCCUGAGAUUCAUUUUAGAAGAAUUUUCUAGGCAAGUGUUUUUAGUCUCUAUCAAGAAUUUGUAGCUGUUUUUAUUAUUUAAGAAAACAAGCAAAUGAAAAUAUGUGAUCUUUAAGGGCCAAUAUAAUAUUUUAUUCUAUCAAUAGGCUUAUGCAGAACUGAUUUUGGUAAAGAUUACAGCAGGGUAUAGUUUUAGAAUUUCUGUCUCAAAUGCAAGUUGGAAUAACAUUCUAUAAUUUGCUUUUAACACACACACUUAAUGAAUGUAAAUAUGAAUCUCAACUAAUAAAAGAAUGAAAAGAACAUAUUUUUCUUAGAUGCUUUUCUUCAGAAACAUGAAAAACCCUCACACUAGUUUUUGGUCUGAAUUAGAGAUAGUCUAUUUAAUGUU